GUCCAGGGCUACACACGUGCUACAAUGGGCGGUACAAAGGGUCGCAAACCCUAAGGGGGAAGCUAAUCCACCAAAAGCCGUCCUCAGUUCGGAUUGAGGUCUGCAACUCGACCUCAUGAAGCUGGAAUCGCUAGUAAUCGCGGAUCAGCAUGCCGCGGUGAAUACGUUCCCGGGCCUU
rnacentral:rRNA from 1 species